rnacentral:lncRNA from 1 species
ACUCUGGUAUUCCUCUAAGUCAAGCCCUCGCAAUGAUGAAGGCGGCAGAUACAAAUUGCCGUGAGAAAUCUCAUGGUAUGAUUUAUAUUCACAAGGCAUGAGAGAGAAAAGUUACCAAUCACAGAGAAAUUAGUUUAUUCUAUAUAUAGGAAUCUUCAAAAUUCAAAUAUUAUAUGAAAACUUAGCUACCCAAUAUUCUUUGUUUUCCCCCCUAAUUUCUAGCGCCUUUUUGAUAUAAUGUAUUCUUUUUGUUACCGACCUGGAAUAGUACUCUUCUUCUUGUUCUGUUGAUGUUGAACGUAAAUGUGAAAUAUGUGAUGUGUUGAAAGUCCAGUUUAACAGAGCUUGGAUUUUUAAUGUAUCCAAAUCAUUUCAUAUAAAAAUUUGAUUGUCACAAUUCUCUUUGUUUUGGGAAAAGUGUAAUCGCGUCUCAAGAGCGCUUAAGGCGGCACAUUGAAAGCCUGUUGCAACACCAUUUGGAGGAUCUGGAAGUGCCGAGGAUCAAAAUUAAUUUCAUUUCGUUAUGCUGUUUCAGUUAGCUGGAAAAAUGAAACCUUAACGUAAGGGAAAUGACGAGAAUUUGAAAAUAUCACUGUCGGACAUUCCUAAUAGGUGUCGAAACAAUCCAAUGUUUCGGUAUGUUUCAUUGUGUUUCGGUGGAAAAAUUGAAAUUUCCUAAUAGGUGUCGAAACAAUCCAAUGUUUCGGUAUGUUUCAUUGUGUUUCGGUGGAAAAAUUGAAAUUUCAAAGAUUCCACUGAUAUUUCCGUUUCGGUUUAUAGUAAAUAGAAAUGGUUUUGGCAGUUUCAGUUCUGUUUCCUAGCAAAUAGAAAUGUUUUGACAGCUUGGCUGGAAACAAAACUAAAUUUUGUUACUUUCAGUAGUGGCAGAAUGAUUGCCUGUUUCUCAGGUAUUUUCCCAAACCCCAGAUUUGGCAACUGAGGGAGCUCAAAUUUUUUGGUCAGGAUAUGCUUCGAGUAUUUCUUCACAGCAGCAACUGAAUCAUAGUCCCAGAACUACAAUUUACAAGGUAUGGGAUCUGCCGGGUUGUCUCAAAGUAAAUUUUGAUAGGGUGUUGCCAACAGGUCUGGAAGCUGUAGGGUCGGUACGGUUGUGCUGAAACAUUUUUGUUUUUCAAAAAACUGGAAUGACACAUUAGUGGAAUUCUAAAAUUCCAAUGUUUCAAACUGAAACAUUGUAAAACUUUCCAAAACAUUGAGUUGUUUCGGCAUCUAUUAGAAAUAUCCAAUAAUGACAUUUCAAUUUGUUUACCGAUUCUUUUGUCAUUUCCAUGAUGUUUACGAAAUGAUGCUGAAAUGUUUCUGUUUUCCAAUUAACCAAAUCAAAAUUUUGAUCCUUGCCUCACUGCAAGGAGGGGGGGCAUGGUGCACCAAUCUUAGGAAGUGGUUGUUGAAGACAUUAGAAAAAUUCAAGUUUUCAGUUUCCUCUAUCACUUGCAUGCUUAGAUUUAGACGUCGAGGAUGUGAUAGUGCUAGCUAUCAGCUAUGCUUUAUGAGCAUAAUUGAGUCAGUCAUCUCCUAACUGACAUAGCAAUUGACGCUUUCAACCACGCGCCGAGCUGCACUCUACUCACUGUUCUUGUCUCUUAGAUCUGGCCAACAGCUUUUGCUACAGCUUAAUCCGGUCAACCACUGCCGGUGCAUACAUCAUUCGAUUUUCCCCUGAACACCCAGGUAAAAUAUGCAAUGGAUGAAUAGUUUUCAAUUACCAGUAUUUUCUGCCAUUUGAUUCUUCUUUGAGAGUAGACGACUGCCAAUAGGUAAUGGGAUGAAACGGUUUUGAAUGGCGCUCGUACCGGUUCGCUGUCCAACCGCAAUAUAGGGCUUGGAAUUGGCUUGUGGAAGAGUGCAUCGGAAAUGAUCCUCUGCGAUAGGGGUUCGAUGUAACAUGGGUCUGUUAUUUGUAGUAUUUAAGCAAGGGUAUUUUCGGAAAAAAGGUGUUUGGAAACACUCGAGGGCACUUCCACCUUUUUAAACUAGGUAGCAGUAUAUAUGCAUGUCUACAUACAUUUUUUUAGCUGCUUCGCGUUUUGUAUUUUUUUCGUUUUUAAUGAAUUUCGUUAAUUCGUCCGAUCAAAAAUUUAUAUUUUUUGAGUUGAAAAAAAUAGCCUGAAAAAUAUAAAAGUUUUCACCAUAUUCGAAAAAAGGUUCACUAAAGAUUAAAAAAAAAUUAUACUUGACAACUUAGAUUUUUUUUCUUCAAAUCCGAUCAAUAUUUUUUUAUUUUCAGAUUUCUCUCGUCAAAAAAAAUAUAAAAUAUAAAAUCUUAACCAAUUAAGAAAAUUUACUAAAAAUAAAAAAACUCAAAAAACAAAGCUAACAAAUGUUUUAAAAAAACUAGGUGAAUCUGAGUCUUAUUUUGAGAAUUUCGUUUGAAAUUUCAUGUAUUUAAACCAAUAUCAAACAAUAUAAGCUCGAAAAAUCUUUUAUGUUGGAAAAACCAAAAAUAAAAAUUCACUCUCUUUACACAUUCCCAUUGUUG